AUUCAGCAACGCUAUCGGCGGUUGUGGUUAGCAUAGUGGACCUAGCCAAUUUGAUUCUCUGUUAAAAAACUGUGUUUGCGAGUAGAAAACCCGCUAUAAUUGUAAACUGUGAUCGCCUGUUUUGUGAAUGACUGCUUAGAGCUAGAUACCCGGCUCGGGUAUCAACAGUGCCAGGCUUGCCUGGCAGCUUCUGACGAAAUGAACUGGUGUUUGCCAGCGAUUAAAGAGUACGCAGUGUUCUGGGCUGUUGACCGCGUUUGCAAGUAUUAUGUGGAUAAGGACUACGAGAAGCGGUACCAGAUAUGGCGCUCAGAAUUCGAAAUCUUGGUACUUCUUAUCGUAGCAUGGUCCGCGUGGUUCCGUGCUAUCCCGUGGAUAUUCCUCUGUCUUACAUUAUUGACAUGGUUAGCUUCGGUGCCUAAUGAAGGCCACAAAAUACUUUUCGAAGGACGCGUUCUGCUCCUCGGACCUGUCAUUAGAAAAGCGUUUUACAACACGCUUCGACACUACCGAAAUCUCCGUGAUGGAGCGCCGGGAGCAUCGGAAAAUGCUUCUCUCAUUGAGAGAAUUGUAUUCUCAAUUUGCUUAAUAUUGUGCCGUCUACCCAAUGCCCUACUGCAGCUCCGUACGCCGCUCGCCGGACUCUGUGAACGCAUUCGCGCCUUCUGGAGAGAAAUGGUCGAAAACUACCGUAAUAUGGAGCUUGAGCAACAACGUCAACGCCAACACCAUCAGGCUAUGUGAUCAUAUGACGAAGUAACAAAGUGACACUGACUGAGUUAAAGGCGUGGCUUCAGUUCUACACAGGCUCUUCUACCGAAGCAGAUGUACAGAUGGAUAAAGUACACCCCACCAGAGUUUUGCGGUCACUCACAAAAGCGUCUCAUUUGACGCUUCCCCGACGGUGUUCACGUUUUCUCCGCCCCAGAUGUCGUCGACUCCUAACAACACUACCCCCCUUCACAACAACCAUGCCUCAUCGCCAACGUCACCGAUGAGUAACGGAUCAUCGGCGACGCCAGCUGGGGCACUACCUCGGCGAACAUCGCUUAGAAGACAAGUUAAAGCUGCAUCUCCACCGGGCAUCAUCAAGACACCGUGAUUUGUGUAUACGGUCCUGACUCAGCUUUGUAUAAUCAUCUAACAAAAUUUAUUUAGUUGCCUCUUCAAGGUCCGAGCGGCGCUCCUCUUCUAUAAUGGUGGUAAGAGCUGAGAACGUCAAGGGUGUGCUGUGGGACCUUGUCCUACUUGUGAGGAUCAACGUUACUUGCUCCUGCGCGCGUCGAUGUAAUAGCAUCUAAAGUGAGGAGCUAACUUUGGCGACGCAUUUACAUAGCUGUCUGGAGGACACUAGUUGUAAUGUUUGUUCAAUGGCAAUAUAAUAUAAAAUGCGAACAGCCUGAAAAGACCUUGCAUUAGUCAGGAAUAGCUAGCCAGUUUGCUCCGUUUUUCGUGAGCUCUUUACUGAGAGUUCAGGCUUUACAUCAUUGUUUCACGCCACCCCGCUCCUUUGGCUUAUAUGAUGAAACGCUUAUACAUUUAUACACGAAUUAGCUAUCUUCCUGUGUAACUUUUCCGGAAUCGUUAAUAUAUACUCUUUUUUUAUGCGUCCUUAUACGGUAAAUACAUAGAACUACUGUUAGAAACAGCUGGCCUCUCCUGUGUUCGUAUGUUGCUGGAAUUGCGGAAACAUGCAAAAACAAGGGAUUGUUUUGUUUUGGAAUCGGCGUCCAUUCGUCCAAAAGAAAGGUGGUUCUUGCUGUAGAUAACUACAUUAAUAAAUUACUUUGAAACUAUAAAAAAAAUAAAUAAAAUUUUACGUAUUGCCAGUGAGGAGUCUCUCGAGGCACACGUAAAUCAACUAUACAAUUUUAAUUGAAUAAUAUUGCGAAUAGGAAUCACGAACUUUCAUUUAGUUCUAUCAAAUGAGCUUAAACUUAAUAUUAUUACUAGAUACUUUAUAGCCCUUUAUAUACGUACGAGGACUGGGCUUCAGUUGCAAUCGUACUCCUACACAUACAAGAUGGUAAACCCGAUGAUGACUGAAAAUUAGCUAUCCAUCUUACGUCAAAACUUUGGAAGGUUACCCUUGGUUCAUUUAACGUCGUGUUAAUUUGUCAAGCGCAGUGAAAUUUACAACUAAUCAAUCUGUACAGUUGUUAGUCAGUUUUUACUCUUCGUAGCUGUGUAGUUCGAAGAACUUCAAUGUGAAGUUGUACCGGCUACGUUUAUCUUGCCAAUACAGAAAGCUUAAUGGUACCAGCCGUUGAGGUAGGGUAAACCAAGGGCAAAACGUUCACCGCUGUAUAUGGUAGAAUACAGAUUCUGCCCUGCGAAAUGAUCACGUCAUAUGCUGCUAUGUAAAAGUUUGAAGAAGACUAUUUGAAAUACAUAAGUGUUACAUAACUCUAUUAGAUCGAUAUCUCUAUAUUAUAAGGAGCUCAUUUAUCGACUCGCCGGGUUCCCACAGAGACAAGAAUGCUACCAGUUGAAGGGCAUUUCUUGGCUAAUGUCUCAGUCUUUAAAUGUACGGGUGAAUGCUUUGAUAUGAUCCCCUCCACUAACGUUUGGACUUACUCAGAAAUGCCAAAACAUAGCAAUACAGGUAUAGAUUUUCGUAUUUGAUUCGAACUUGCGGUUAGUUUGAUUGAACUGCAUUGGAUAUUUAACAUGCUUACAUAGAUCGACAUUUCUAUAUGGAUAUAAAUAUAUAGGACGCAAACAAAAACGAAUUAAUUAAUCAUCCGUUACAAAACAACGUGAAUGUGUACAAUUAAAAACGUACUGUAUACAACAAGGAUCAUAAGACGUUGAUCAGGCGGAUAUUUUCUAUUAUUGUCGAAUACUAGUCGACACGUUCAACGGUGUCUACCAGGAAGGAGCAUCAACCCUUAUCAUCUGAUGAUUACAUCCUGGUAAGGAAGGCUUACCCAGGGACUUGUCCACUUGGCUCACUCUAUUAAUUACAUCUCAUUAUCAUCACGUUGUAAGAAUAAUAUUGACGUAAUUCACACUUCAUCGGUGCUGUUGGAAAAUGUUUUAGGUAUUCGUUAAGAAUGUCUAAACAAUACUUGAAGGCGCAUUUUUUUUUGGAAUUCAUCCACCAUUCUUCAGCUAUCAUGUUCAUCCUGCCAUUGCAGGGACACUGUAAAUGGAUAUGUGUAUAAAAAUGGCUUAAAUAAUUAAUGUUAUGUUUAUGCAGGUCA